UGUCGAACGGCAGCGGGGACUUCGGUCCGCCGGCGAGUGGCGAACGGGUGAGUAACGUAUCGGAACGUACCUUUCAGUGGGGGAUAACGUAGCGAAAGUUACGCUAAUACCGCAUAUUCUGUGAGCAGGAAAGCAGGGGAUCGCAAGACCUUGCGCUGAUUGAGCGGCCGAUAUCAGAUUAGCUAGUUGGUGAGGUAAAGGCUCACCAAGGCGACGAUCUGUAGCGGGUCUGAGAGGAUGAUCCGCCACACUGGAACUGAGACACGGUCCAGACUCCUACGGGAGGCAGCAGUGGGGAAUUUUGGACAAUGGGGGCAACCCUGAUCCAGCCAUGCCGCGUGAGUGAAGAAGGCCUUCGGGUUGUAAAGCUCUUUCGGCCGGGAAGAAAUCGUAUGGGUUAAUACCCUGUGCGGAUGACGGUACCGGCAUAAGAAGCACCGGCUAACUACGUGCCAGCAGCCGCGGUAAUACGUAGGGUGCGAGCGUUAAUCGGAAUUACUGGGCGUAAAGCGUGCGCAGGCGGUUUUGUAAGACAGGCGUGAAAUCCCCGGGCUCAACCUGGGAACUGCGCUUGUGACUGCAAGGCUAGAGUACGGCAGAGGGGGGUGGAAUUCCACGUGUAGCAGUGAAAUGCGUAGAGAUGUGGAGGAACACCAAUGGCGAAGGCAGCUCUCUGGGUCGAUACUGACGCUCAUGCACGAAAGCGUGGGUAGCAAACAGGAUUAUAUACCCUGGUAGUCCACGCCCUAAACGAUGUCAACUAGGUGUUGGAUGGGUAAAACCCAUUUAGUACCGGAGCUAACGCGUGAAGUUGACCGCCUGGGGAGUACGGCCGCAAGGUUAAAACUCAAAGGAAUUGACGGGCACCCGCACAAGCGGUGGAUGAUGUGCAUUAAUUUCGAUGCAACGC
rnacentral:rRNA from 1 species